rnacentral:tRNA from 1 species
AAGGGAGACCUAAUUCGGGUAUAAGACGAAAAAAGAGUAGUCGAAACCAAGAAUCAAUCCCAAAAGGUCGGAACGAGGUAUGUGGCUUUCAAACUAGGUUCUGGGUUCACACAAGACCUGAAUCAGGAACAAGGGCUAUUAGCUCAGGUGGUUAGAGCGCACCCCUGAUAAGGGUGAGGUCCCUGGUUCGAGUCCAGGAUGGCCCACCUGCACAGGUGGCAAAAACAAAGAAGCGAGGAAUCAGCACCUUAUCUUAUCUAUAUAUAAGAGAGAAUGCUGGCUCUGAGUAAAGAGUCCAGAGGAACCUUGAAAACUGCAUAGAGCUAGGCGAAAAAGCCAAAAAAGAAGACCGCAA